GAGUUUGAUCCUGGCUCAGGAUGAACGCUGGCGGCGUGCUUAACACAUGCAAGUCGAGCGAAGCGGUUUCAAUGAAGUUUUCGGAUGGAUUUGAGAUUGACUUAGCGGCGGACGGGUGAGUAACGCGUGGGUAACCUGCCUUACACUGGGGGAUAACAGUUAGAAAUGGCUGCUAAUACCGCAUAAGCGCACAGUGCCGCAUGGUACGGUGUGAAAAACUCCGGUGGUGUGAGAUGGAUCCGCGUCUGAUUAGCCAGUUGGCGGGUAACGGCCCACCAAAGCGACGAUCAGUAGCCGACCUGAGAGGGUGACCGG
rnacentral:rRNA from 1 species